AAUUAAAAUCAACAGCACAGUAAAAGGUGCAAACCAUGAAGGGGUCUGAAUACAUCUGAACCACUCUUUAUGUAAAGGGUCUGUCAAAUUCAUGUUAUACCUCCGUUUCCUUUUUAGACAGGAAAGCCAUUUUCUUCAAUAGCCACAAUGUUUCCAAACCAGAGUCGUCCUCAGACUUGACUUCGAGAGAGAAUGUCGAGGGAGUGUCUCAGCCACCCAAUGAGGAUGUCAUCAGAGAGUUGUCCAAGUCCUUGCGGCAGGCGCUGAGUGUGUCCUUGUUUGGCAUUGAUGUCAUCAUCAACAACCAAACAGGCCAACAUGCUGUCAUUGACAUCAAUGCAUUCCCUGGUUAUGAGGGUGUCCCAGAGUUUUUCAGUGACCUCCUGAACCACAUCAGCAGCGUGCUUCAGAGCCACAACCCUGACUUCACCCCUGCCAAUGAGCAGCGCAGAAGCCCGCCAGCU